CACAUCCAAAUACCUGACCUUUUCCCGGAAAAGAAACGUAGCCUGGCAGCUGUUGAAUCUCUCUGUUCAGUGUGUUAAGGACGAUGAUUAUAGUUUCAAGACAGACCUGAAAAGAAGAGAGCCAAGAUUUUGGCAUCAAUAUAACCUCUGGGUUCUGGUUCAACUCAGACCUCUGACUUGUUGAUUCAGAGGAACAUCUUUCAACAUGUACUGAUGUCUCUAAGAUGUGAAAGGACCAGACACAUUACAGCCCAAAGGAAUACGCAAGGCCCCUCACCAACGUUCAAAGCUUACGAACGAUGACAGAGUUGAAGCUUACUUCAGAUCCUGUAAUUAUGGAAAAGAGCAAAGAUUAAAGAAUUCUCCCACAUCACUUCCAGGAAAAGGAUUACUGCCAAGAGCCACCCUUCCCCAUUAUCACUGAUUUAAGACCCCACUAGGCCCCCUGUUUCCCUGGGAAAAAACCAGACACACACUCCACAAAUUCCCGG
ensembl:lncRNA